rnacentral:lncRNA from 1 species
CAUCAAUUUAAAGAGUUCAAGCUUUUCACAACUUCCACUUGCAAAUGAACGCGAUUCGUUUCCAUAGAGAGUGUUUGGAAGGAGAGUGGCAAGGACAUCUGAAAGUGUAAAGCACUUUUUUUUUUUCCCACCCCCGAUGCCCUGGGAAAUUCGCCUCACCCCCAAGGUUUGUGGAGGCGGUGGAGGAGGCAGUAACUCUGGUCAGGCUGCCUGCGGAUAUAGCCCCUUGCCUCGGCUGCCUUAUUGCCAGUUACAUUAAACACAGUCUAUGACAAGAGUUUAUUGAUACUCUACGGCAGUCAACAUCCGCUGAUGAUGGUGAACAUCAUCCUACACAAUAACCCUUCUCUCCCUGGUCUCUCUCACACCAGCCAUGAAGGGUUUCGAAGCCACACGGCACAAUCGAGGGAGCACGACACACAGCUUAGCGACCGUGAUCUGUGAACCUCUCCUCGCUGGAACCUUCUCAGGUAGAAUGACUUGGGCACCCAUUUCCUCUGUCUCUAAAGCAGCAGCACGUGCAUCGAAGGCCAGAACAGCUCUCCUGUAGCCACUGUGAACACAGAUCUCCCGGACAGGGCCCGGGGACCUCAUUUGGUGGGGACCAUAGAAGGCCUGGGUGGGCUAUGGGCGGCAAAGAAUUUGCUCUCCUUCUGUGUUGUAGCUUUUAAAGGGAAAGCCUUGGAUCACUAGAUUUUCUCACAGUGUUCUCUUGCUCGAGGAACUUGGGUGAAGUUGCUCUGGGUUGGGAUUGGGGGACAUUUACAAAUACUGCCUUCAGGGCACCUUCAGGGGGGCUCAGUUGGUUGAGCAUCCAACUCUUGAUUUCGGCUUAGGUCAUGAUCUCACGGUUUGUGAGUUUGAGCCCAUGUCGGGUUCCGUGCUGACUUGGGACUCUCUCUCUGUAUUUGUCUCUUUCUCUAUCUUUCUCUCUAAAAUUAUAUAUAUAUAUAUAUAUAUAUAUAUAUAUAUAUAUAUAUAUAUAUAUAAUAUAAAUAAUAUAAAUAUACAAUAUAUAUAUAUUUUAAUGGGUGG